rnacentral:rRNA from 1 species
UUUUCCUACGGGACGCAGCAGUGGGGAAUAUUGAGUAAUGGAGGAAACUCUGACGCAGUGACGCCGCGUAUAGGAAGAAGGUUUUCGGAUUGUAAACUAUUGUCGAUAGGGAAGAAAAAAGACUGUACCUAUCAAGAAAGCUCCGGCUAACUACGUGCCAGCAGCCGCGAUAAUACGUAGGGAGCAAGCGUUAUCCGGAAUUAUUGGGUGUAAAGGGUGCGUAGACGGGAUGUCAAGUUAGUUGUGAAAUACCUCGGCUCAACUGAGGAACUGCAACUAAAACUAACAUUCUUGAGUGCAGGAGG